UGAGUAACGCGUGGGUAACCUACCCCAAAGUCCGGGAUAACAGCGGGAAACCGCUGCUAAUACCGGAUGCCUUUACCUUGGGGCAUCUUGAGGUAAAGAAAGGUAACGCUUUGGGAUGGGCCCGCGUCCCAUUAGCUAGUUGGUGAGGUAACGGCUCACCAAGGCGACGAUGGGUAGCCGGCCCGAGAGGGUGGACGGCCACACUGGGACUGAGACACGGCCCAGACUCCUACGGGAGGCAGCAGUAGGGAAUAUUGCGCAAUGGACGGAAGUCUGACGCAGCGACGCCGCGUGAGCGAUGAAGGUCUUCGGAUCGUAAAGCUCUGUCCUUGGGGAAGAAGGCGAAAGCUUGACGGUACCCAAGAAGGAAGCCCCGGCUAACUACGUGCCAGCAGCCGCGGUAAUACGUAGGGGGCGAGCGUUGUCCGGAAUUACUGGGCGUAAAGGGUGCGUAGGCGGCCCUUUAAGUCGGAUGUGAA
rnacentral:rRNA from 1 species